rnacentral:lncRNA from 1 species
GAGAGAGAGAGAGAGAGAGAGAGAGAGAGAGAGAGAGAGAGGUGUGUGAGAUUUAAGGACCAAGGGGGUUGCUGUUAUGGUGGAGAGGGUCCGGCCCACCUGGAACUUGCCUCGCCAUGUCCUCCACAGCUUGGAAAACUCUGUCUUCUCUUCCCUUCCCAAAUCUCUCAGCCUCGUAGAUAUGCAUCCCCUUUUCACAAACAUUAAAAAUAAAUAUAAACAAGGGAAAAAUAACACUUUUUUGAAAAUAAAAGUGUGAGUUUAGAGAGAGAAAAUGCGGUUUGUAGAAGUGUACAAGAACAUAUGGGGGGAAAGGAGGGUUUUUCUAAAGAAAUUAUCGAAAGACUUUAACUUUGAAAUUUGUUACCUUUGAGCCUGUUUUCCCUGCCAUAGUUGGUGUUCUUCCUUGGAGACCUGAAAAAAAGAUGUUAGAGAGAGAGAGAGAGAGAGAGAGAGAGAGAGAGAAGGAGGGAGAGGAGAGGAGAGGAGAGAGAGAGAGAGAGGCUUACGAGAAGAAUGGACAAAUGGUAUUGAAGCCACCAUUAGAACGAGUAUGAAGGUUGAAAUCCCAGCAAAAAUGUGAGCUUUACUCUUUCCCAUUUGAUUUGUUGAUCCCAGAAAAUUGCAGAGGAGAGAAAGAGAGAGAAG